AUUGAACGCUGGCGGCAUGCUUUACACAUGCAAGUCGAACGGUAACAGGGUGCUUGCACCGCUGACGAGUGGCGAACGGGUGAGUAAUGCGUCGGAACGUGCCGAGUAGUGGGGGAUAACGCAGCGAAAGUUGUGCUAAUACCGCAUACGUACUGAGGUAGAAAGUGGGGGACCUUCGGGCCUCACGCUAUUCGAGCGGCCGACGUCUGAUUAGCUAGUAGGUGAGGUAAAGGCUCACCUAGGCGACGAUCAGUAGCGGGUCUGAGAGGAUGGUCCGCCACACUGGGACUGAGACACGGACCAGACUCCUACGGGAGGCAGCAGUGGUGAAUGUUGGACAAUGGGGGAAAGCCUGAUCCAGCCAUGCCGCGUGUCUGAAGAAGGCCUUCGGGUUGUAAAGGACUUUAGGUUGGGAGGAAGGGCAGUAAGCUAAUACCUUGCUGUUUUGACGUUACCAACAGAAUAAGCACCGGCUAACUUCGUGCCAGCAGCCGCAGUAAGAC
rnacentral:rRNA from 1 species